UAGAAAAACAGGACUUGAACC
rnacentral:tRNA from 1 species